AGUAAAGUCAACUAAUUAAGCUUUUGAGACCCAUAUACCCCAAAAAAGUUAGUUAAACCCCUUCCUUUACUA
rnacentral:tRNA from 1 species